rnacentral:rRNA from 1 species
GCUCCUACGGGAGGCAGCAGCGACGAAUCUUCCGCAAUGGGCGAAAGCCUGACGGAGCGACGCCGCGUGUGGGAUGAAGCGGCUUUGCCGUGUAAACCACUGUCAGGGAAUAGAAACACUUGAUCAUUCCAAAGGAAGGGCGACUAC